UUUCAUUAAUUAAAAAAAUAAGAAGCCACGUUUACUUAAAAUAAAUCUAAAUGCUCUUCUUCUUCGUUGCUUUACCUUGCAGCGCCGCUGAAACUCAGAUCUCUUCCUCUUCGAUUUAGCUCCGAUCUCUUCCUCUACAAUCUAGUUCUGAUCUCUUCCUCCUCGACUCGCCAUGCGUCUCCCCAGUCGACAGGCUGACCACCAUCUCGCUUAACCCUAUGAUUCUGAUCUAACAGGUCAUACAGAUUGGAAGCGUUAAACUCAAACCACUCAACCACUCUUCUUUCUCCGCCUCUGUUUUCUCUCCGUCUCUCCCAUUCACAAGCUUUAGACAGCGAAAGAUUCUCACCGCCGUUUGUUUCGUCGUUCAAGAACAUAAACAGAUCCGAUGCCACGAGACCACCGAGGAUCCUUGGAGCGGGGAUCGUCGGCAAACAGCAUUUGGUUGCGGCGGCUGAGGGCUCACUAGGGUGAUUAGGGUUUUUUUGGUUGAUUUUAGCAUCCGGUAUAACCGUGAUUUAGUGGUCGGUUCAAUUCUGUAAAAAUUAUUCAAUUCCCAGUUUGGAUGGUUUGUUAAUAUUAAUAUAUAUAUAUUAAUUUAAAGAAAAAUUGUCACGA